CCUCGAAAUAAAGAAGAGACAAAAAUCAAUCGUCCAGAAGUCACCACGGCGGCAAUGGCGACUGCUUAUCUCCUCUCGUCUCCCUCUCUUUCUCUCGGCCCUCUUCCUCUUCUCAAAAGAGCGCUUCCGUUGCCUGCUUCUUCCCCAAUCCUUCCUCUUGUCUCCUCCUCCGUGGCUUCUUCUUCUUCUUCUUCUAGAAGGGUCUCCUCCACCUCAGCUUCCACCUCCUCCUCAGCCAUCUCCCGGGCACGAUCCUCCUCCAGGCGCGGCGCCGUCGGCGGCGGAUCACAGCCUACGCUCGACGAUUCGACUGCAGUUUAUCAGGGGAGUUACGGGCCCUGGUCCGUAGAGCCCUCCGACGUCCGCGAGGUUAUAUUAUAUAGGUCAGGAUUGGUCACUGCUGCCAUAUCAUUCGUUCUUGCUGCUUCUUCUGCUUUUAUACCUGAAGGCAACGUAGUGGGGGAUAUCAUCAGACAAGAUAGAGAUUUCUUGUAUACCAUUGGAGCUGGAGGACUUGGUCUAUCACUUCUACUAAUUCACAUUUAUGUCACUCCUAUCAAGAGAUUUCUACAGUUACUCUGGAUGCUUGGUGUGUGUGGUUCACUCGGAGCUUAUUUAACUGCCGCUAAGCCUCUUAAUGAAAGUUUGAUAGAUUAUGUCAUAAACAACCCAACUGCUGUAUGGUUUGUUGGGCCUCUCUUUGCAGCAUUGACUGGUCUGGUUUUUAAAGAAGGUCAUGUCUGCACUAUGCAAGUAGGCAUGUGGUCUCUGCUAUGGGAAGUUGGAAGCUGGCAUCCUGACUUUCAUCAUCCCAGGACUCCUCCUUGGACAUCUGACAGGUCUACUUGAUGACGGAGCAAAAUUAGGCUUGUUGGGUGUAUGGAUGGCACUCUUUGUGGUUUUUGCAGCAAGGAAGUUUCAACAACCAAUUAAGGACGAUAUCGGUGAUAAAUCUGUGUUCAUGUUCAAUGCUCUUCCUGAAGAAGAAAGGAAGGCUUUGCUCGAGAAGCUGGAGCAGCAACUUGAAUAAACACUACCGAAACAGUGUCCAAACCACGACAUCUAAAACUUGGCUUUUGAAUCCCACUGCCUGCAGAAUAAAGUAUAGUUGGUUUUAGCAGAUGAUAAUUUGUAAAUAGUCAGCUAUGUGUUGCAGUUUGAUACAAUCUGUGGAUCCAUGAGCCAUAGUAGCGUUCUAUGUUUUUGGUCAGUGAUGUUAUUCUGGAGAUGUUGUAGAUUAUACUCCAUAAUGCCUUUUCCAACUUGCCUUGAUU